UCAAGGUUGUGGUAUCAUUAUAUAAUUUUAUUUAUGGACGAGAUAUAUAAGUGGCAAAUCAAGAGAGUAUUGAUUAGUUUAAGUGUUUGGUUGAGUUGAAAAAUAAUAAUAAUAAUUAAAAAAAAAUAGAAUAAGUAGUAUUAUCUGUAUGGGAGUUAUGUGAGUAAAAUGUGGGAAUUAAGUUGAAUUAGUCCAACUAGUUUUAUGCGUAAAGAUAGGAGGAGCCCACUAUCUCAUCAUGAAUUAUUAAAGAAUGAAAUUUUACACAUUAAGCUUUUGAAGUUAAUUAAACUUAAACUUUUGGCGGUCUUGGAGUGCACGUGUGGCACUCACAUAUAUGAAGUACAAAAAUUAAUUAAAAAUGUUUAAAUCAUUAUAUCAUGUGCUUGUUGUGACGUGUGCAUGAGAUAGUGUAGUCAUCAAAUGGUUAGCUACGUACAUUGAUAAGUAGGUUAUGUGGCAAGAAUGGAGUCAAUUUCUCCAUGACAUACGAAGUUAAGGAAAUUAGUUUCCAUCUGUUACGCAUUAAGGUUGAUACUCAAGAUUAUGUGCAUGAAAUUUUGAAAUAAACUAUGGACCCUUUGAAUGUUUCUCUAACCGAUAUCACAUGAAGGAUGAGUCUUGGAGGCUAUGUGUCAUCCUAUGAUUAAUCCACUUACUUAUUAAGUAAUUUUUUUAAACUUUAACCUUAGUUAAUUAGUGUAUGGUGGUAUGGUUAAGAGUGAAGUAUAGUUUAGUAUUUAAGGCCUAUAAAUAGAGCCUAGCUGAGCUAGCUCAUUUCAUUUUUCAUCACUCACAAAGAAGCCAACACUCUCAAGAAAACACUUCCUAGACCUUGUUGAUACUUAAGCUAAAAUCACCUCUAAGCUCCAUAAACUUUUGUCUUCCUUCUUUUCCCUUCUUCCAUAGCCAAUCACUUAUUCUCCAAGAGCCAAGGUAGAACAUCAACACCCUCUUUUAUUAUGACCACCACCAUCCUCUCAUAAAUAUAUAAAUACAUAUCCUUCAUCAUAUCAGCAUCACCAUCACCAUCAUUUUACGUUCAAGUUUUAGUGCUCAACUAGCUCUUAUUGGAAGCUAAGGUUUGUCAUAAAACAAUUAUUAUUUCUCAAAGAUCUCUCUCGUUGCAAUCAAGGUUAAGACUUCACAUUCGAGACCAAGGUAACUGAAAGUCUAGAAUGCCGGUGGCGAGUGGAACUUUGGACGCUUGUGUGUGAACUCGCUGAGGGCCAUAUAACUGCGGGCGGUCUAGGGCGCUCUAUUUAUUUAUUUACGUUAUUAAACUUAUGUCGCAAUUAUUUUAGUUAUUAAUUAUUAUGUCUUUGGUACGAAAACUGGCCAGUUGUGAACAUUUUCAAGUAUUAAAUAAAAAUGCGACAUUAUAUUUUUCCGCGUUUAACGCUUGUAAAUAAAAUUAAUAUUUUUAUAAAAGUACGGGCGUUACAUCCAGACUCCUUAGACUUGGCAGAUUUGGGAGUAGAAGGAUUC